rnacentral:rRNA from 1 species
CCUUAUAGGUUUUGAAACCGCUCAGGACGAACGCUGGCGGCGUGCCUAAUACAUGCAAGUCGUACGCUUCUUUUUCCACCGGAGCUUGCUCCACCGGAAAAAGAAGAGUGGCGAACGGGUGAGUAACACGUGGGUAACCUGCCCAUCAGAAGGGGAUAACACUUGGAAACAGGUGCUAAUACCGUAUAACAAUCGAAACCGCAUGGUUUUGAUUUGAAAGGCGCUUUCGGGUGUCGCUGAUGGAUGGACCCGCGGUGCAUUAGCUAGUUGGUGAGGUAACGGCUCACCAAGGCCACGAUGCAUAGCCGACCUGAGAGGGUGAUCGGCCACAUUGGGACUGAGACACGGCCCAAACUCCUACGGGAGGCAGCAGUAGGGAAUCUUCGGCAAUGGACGAAAGUCUGACCGAGCAACGCCGCGUGAGUGAAGAAGGUUUUCGGAUCGUAAAACUCUGUUGUUAGAGAAGAACAAGGAUGAGAGUAACUGUUCAUCCCUUGACGGUAUCUAACCAGAAAGCCACGGCUAACUACGUGCCAGCAGCCGCGGUAAUACGUAGGUGGCAAGCGUUGUCCGGAUUUAUUGGGCGUAAAGCGAGCGCAGGCGGUUUCUUAAGUCUGAUGUGAAAGCCCCCGGCUCAACCGGGGAGGGUCAUUGGAAACUGGGAGACUUGAGUGCAGAAGAGGAGAGUGGAAUUCCAUGUGUAGCGGUGAAAUGCGUAGAUAUAUGGAGGAACACCAGUGGCGAAGGCGGCUCUCUGGUCUGUAACUGACGCUGAGGCUCGAAAGCGUGGGGAGCAAACAGGAUUAGAUACCCUGGUAGUCCACGCCGUAAACGAUGAGUGCUAAGUGUUGGAGGGUUUCCGCCCUUCAGUGCUGCAGCUAACGCAUUAAGCACUCCGCCUGGAGACGCGACCUUGG